UACAGAGGGUGCGAGCGUUAAUCGGAAUUACUGGGCGUAAAGGGCGCGUAGGCGGUUUAUCAAGUGAGAUGUGAAAUCCCCGGGCUUAACCUGGGAACUGCAUCUUAAACUGAUAGGCUGGAGUACUGUAGAGGAUAGUGGAAUUUCCGGUGUAGCGGUGAAAUGCGUAGAGAUCGGAAGGAACAUCAGUGGCGAAGGCGACUGUCUGGACAGAUACUGACGCUGAGGCGCGAAAGCGUGGGGAUCAAACAGG
rnacentral:rRNA from 1 species